rnacentral:rRNA from 1 species
GAUGAACGCUGGCGGCGUGCCUAAUACAUGCAAGUCGAGCGAACAGACGAGGAGCUUGCUCCUCUGACGUUAGCGGCGGACGGGUGAGUAACACGUGGAUAACCUACCUAUAAGACUGGGAUAACUUCGGGAAACCGGAUCUAAUACCGGAUAAUAUAUUGAACCGCAUGGUUCAAUAGUGAAAGACGGUUUUGCUGUCACUUAUAGAUGGAUCCGCGCCGCAUUAGCUAGUUGGUAAGGUAACGGCUUACCAAGGCAACGAUGCGUGGCCGACCUGAGAGGGUGAUCGGCCACACUGGAACUGAGACACGGUCCAGACUCCUACGGGAGGCAGCAGUAGGGAAUCUUCCGCAAUGGGCGAAAGCCUGACGGAGCAACGCCGCGUGAGUGAUGAAGGCCUUCGGAUCGUAAAACUCUGUUAUUAGGGAAGAACAAAUGUGUAAGUAACUAUGCACGUCUUGACGGUACCUAAUCAGAAAGCCACGGCUAACUACGUG